UUACACCCUCCCCAUAGGAAAGCACUGCAGCAAUGCUUUCCAGUGGGGAUUUUGAUGAUGCUGGAUGUCCUCGUACAGAGCGUGAAAAUGUCCAGCAUCAGUUCGGCAAGCAGGAAGUGCCUUUAGUGGCUGUCUGAUUGACAGCCACUAGAGGCAGUCUUACCCUGCAAUACAAUUAUUGCAGUUUCUCAGAAACUGUAAUAAUUACCAUUGCAGGGUUAAGCGGACAGAGACAUUGCACCUAGACCACUUCAAAUAGAUGAAGUGUUUCUGGGUGCCUAUAGUGUCCCUUUAACUAUAAACUUAAUUUAAGAAGAGACUUGGGUAAAAAGAAUAGUGAUUUAGUUACAAUGCAUAAUCAUAUGUUGCAUAAGUCUGUCACAGUGCCAAUGCUGCGCAUACAUAUAUAUGUAUAUUUAGACUUGUGUAAAGAUUAAGGGCCGCAAACUUUACAGAAGUCAUCCGUGCAAUAUCGCCUGUUCAUUAUGUUAUAAGAAUGAAGUACGGAAUUCUAAAACAUGAUCAGUCCUAUGUAUUAAUGCUAAACCUAACCAAUAGAGUUUUGGAACAAAAAAAGUCUAAAGUUGUGUUUUCCCCCAGGUUACAAAACAAUUAAACUCCUAAUUUGAUCACUUGUCCGUAUGAACAAAUGCUUGUCCAAACCAAUAGAUGACAUUUCUAAUGCCAGCUCUUGCUGAACUUGUUAUAGUCAG